rnacentral:rRNA from 1 species
CAGCAGCAGCCGCGGGAAUACGUAGGGUGCGAGCGUUGUCCAGAAUUAUUGGGCGUAAAGAGCUUGUAGGUGGUUUGUCGCGUCUGCUGUGAAAAUCCGAGGCUCAACCUCGGACUUGCAGUGGGUACGGGCAGACUAGAGUGUGGUAGGGGAGACUGGAAUUCCUGGUGUAGCGGUGGAAUGCGCAGAUAUCAGGAGGAACACCGAUGGCGAAGGCAGGUCUCUGGGCCAUUACUGACACUGAGAAGCGAAAGCAUGGGGAGCGAACAGGAUUAGAUACCCCAGUAGUCCCUGUCUCUUAUAC